rnacentral:lncRNA from 1 species
UUUUUUUUUUUUUUUUUUUUAAAUAUAUGUGGUGUUACAUGAGCUAAUCUUCCCAUUAUUUUGCCAAAAAAUAAAAAGAAAAAGCAAAAACAUAUAAACUCCUUGGGUAUCUUACUACCCUUCAGACGGACAUUUGUACUCCGGAAAAUGCUCAGUAGGUAAUUAAAUGAUCUGUUGUCUUAAACCAGUCAACUGCCCUUAACUAGUUAGUUGCGGCUGUAGGAGUUAACCAUAGGUAUCCUUACAAGUUACAAUAUCCCCACCUCCCCGCCGCCCAUUGCAUGUUUCCCAUCUCUCGAAUUCUUGGAAAGCAUUUGAGGUGAUCGAUCACACAAUUCAGUUGGCAAACUAUUAGUUGAAUUCAUUAAAUGGUGCCGGUGCCAUGCAGAAUUAAAAUUCUAGGCAUACAUUUCCAGCAGUCAGGUCCACAGAACUAAUUUUUCUCACUACUUGGGCCAAGGUGAUUGACAGAUGAGAUGAAGCUGAAGGUCAUUUCACAAGCAAUGGACAUGGUUCAGAUUUUAUAACAUAGAUUAUGAUGUAAAUCAAUCCUUUUUUUUUUUUUUUAGUGUUACAAUUAACCUCAACUUCAAAAAUAAUAAAGAAGAUACUGUGCUAUUACUGUGGCCAAAUCCGCCAUCAUGAAUUACAGCAAGCCCCUAAUAAUAAGAACCCAAAAAAAAAGUAUUUUUUUUUAAGAUUCAAUUUUUGUACCAUUUAUGUCAAGAGAACACAAAAGUAUACCUUGUUUGUCUUAUUCUCAUCAGUUUAUUAGACUACCAUUUUACUAACCAUUGAUUAUAUAUAAAACAAGGAAUAAUGGUUGCCUAAGUUAGCAGACAAGAUUUGGAUAACAGAAUCCAUGGGAAGACGAACAAAACCAUCCACUAAAAGAUACUCCAAGAGAAGGGGUUAAAUCUAACGCUUUGCAGUGAGCGAAAAAUUGACCUGGGAGGCGUGCUUAUAAGUCGUGUGGCCUGAGGACAGACCGGAAACUGGGACAUGCUCCGACAGGAAGGGGCUUCAAGCAAGUUCCACAAUCUUGCUUACACAAAACUACUUGCAUUUUGCUUAUUUGCUCCUACAAAGAAUUGGCGUUGACACAUAGCUCAAACUCUUUAUAUUUUACUCAGGUCAACCUCAAAAUAUUGAGUAAGUAUCCAUUUAAACAAUCAUUUGCACUCGUUAACAAACAUUAUGAUGCAUCUAUCACCCAAUAAUCGUCUCGCAUUUUGGUCGUGAUUCAAUUGAACGAAGGCAAACGUGUCAACCGUCAGUAGGAACCAUCAUGGUUUACACUUCAUUCAGCUAUGUAAUUAUUAUUUAUGAAUGAAUGAUACAAGUACUCCUGUCCUCGACAACCUCUCCAUCUACCUUCUUUUUUAAAAUAAAUAAAUAAAUAAAGUGAGAGGUCUUGAUUCUAGACACUCCAUUUCCAGCCUACUACCAGUGCUCCAUUUCCACCCUGCACGACGAAUAUGGACCUUUUGGAAUUAACGAGUAACCAAACCCAAGUGUCA